GGGUCUGUAGCUGGAAGGUCAAGCAAGCCGCUCAUAACGGCUAGAUGUGGGUUCGAUUCCCUCCAGACCCA
rnacentral:tRNA from 1 species